CCCUUAGAUGUUCUGAACCGCACGCGUGUUACACUGAUGCAUUCAACGAGCUUUACCUUGGCCGAGAUGCCUGGGAAAUCUUUUUAGCAUGCAUCGUGAUAGGGAUUGAUUAUUGCAAUUAUUAAUCAUGAACGAGGAAUUCCUAGUAAACGCAUUUCAUCAAAAUGCAUUGAUUACGUCCCUGCCCUUUGUACACACCGCCCGUCGCACCUACCGAUUGAGUGGUCCGGUGAAGUCUCGAGAUUGUGGCAAUCUCCUUUAUUGGAGUUUGACUGCGAGAACUUGCCUAAACCUUAUCACUUAGAGGAAGGUGAAGUCGUAACA
rnacentral:rRNA from 1 species